rnacentral:misc_RNA from 1 species
GCCUGUGCUUCAAGCCGAAGAGGACGAAAGAUUUGUGAAAGAAUGGAAGAAUUACCUUGAAGAGGAGGCAAGGAUCAUGAAAGAUGUGCCAGGGUGGAAGGUUGGUGAGAGCGUAUACAACUCCGGCAAAUGGAUGCCCCCAGCAACAGGCGAGCUCCGCCCCGAUGUCUGGUGAGGGAACCUCAUCGACCUCAGCCUGUAAUGUGGUUUCUGGAUGCUGAAACAUGGUUCACUGUUGGCUCUGGUAGGAGCCGAAAUGCCAUGUCAGUUUGAAAUGUUUUUUUUACUUAAUAAAUUUCAAGUCGACAUUAAUCUGAUUUAUGAGGUAAAUCUUUUGCCGCAAGUCUGGUGGCAGGAUUGGGUGAUUAAUGUAU